CACUGUGAUGUAUGGCUGCCAAGCUGCUGUAUCAUGAUGACUCUACUGUCGCCCCUGACUUCCACCUCUGUCCACCUUGGUGAGGAUUAGACAGUGAUGGACAACUGCCACAGACCAAUGGCCCCUGAUGUAGAAGGAGGGCCCCUACAGAGGAAACUGAGAAGAAAUGCUGCUGAAGCCAUUAGACUGCACAGGAGGUGUUCAGGAGCUGGGUGCUGGGAGGCGGCAGUGAGACUCAACCACACCCUGCAGAGCUGUCCUGUCCUGUCCCUGUGAUACCUGCACAGUCUCCUUGCCACCUACAUCGUGGAUGCCAUGCAACAUGCCACCGAGUCAUGUGAUCCUGAGCUGGCCAUGAUUCCUGGAGGAAGACAAGCAGAGCACGCUGGAGCUUGACUCUUCACAUGCUACAACCUGCUUUGCCCAGACAUGGUGCUUGAGCUGGCCUGGAGACUCGGUCUCAUGGAUUUCACAUGACCCGCUUCGUCCAGGAGGAGCAGGCAGCCUAGAUCGGCUGGAGUCAGAAGUGAACAGUGUCCCAGCAUGCUGUUCCAGCCCUGAGGAUCAACAAUCCUGGGAUGUCCCUGUGCCCAGAGGACUCAAGCUUCAGGAGCCAGGCCACACUUGAAGCCUGUGUCACCAACCACUGCUGCAGUGUACCUGGAUGCCACAGACCCACGAGGAAGUACUGAGCUGAAACAGAAGCUGAGGCUUCAACAGGACUGCCAGGAGCUCUGUGU